rnacentral:tRNA from 2 species
GCAAUUAUAGCUCAGUGGUAGAGCACCUGCCUAGCAUGUGGGAGGCACUGGGUUUGAUUCUCAGUACUGCA